AUUGAACGCUGGCGGCAGGCCUAACACACGCAAGUCGAGCGGUAGAGAGGUGCUUGCAUCUCUUGAGAGCGGCGGACGGGUGAGUAAUGCCUAGGAAUCUGCCUAGUGUGGGGGAUAACGUUCGGAAACGGACGCUAAUACCGCAUACGUCCUACGGGAGAAAGCGGGGGAUCUUCGGACCUCGCGCCAUUAGAUGAGCCUAGGUCGGAUUAGCUAGUUGGUGAGGUAAUGGCUCACCAAGGCGACGAUCCGUAACUGGUCUGAGAGGAUGAUCAGUCACACUGGAACUGAGACACGGUCCAGACUCCUACGGGAGGCAGCAGUGGGGAAUAUUGGACAAUGGGCGAAAGCCUGAUCCAGCCAUGCCGCGUGUG
rnacentral:rRNA from 1 species